rnacentral:rRNA from 1 species
AAUUUUGGACAAUGGGGGAAACCCUGAUGCAGCCAUCCCGCGUGUAUGAUGAAGGCCUUCGGGGUGUAAAGUACUUUUUGCAGAGAAGAAAAGGUAUCUCCUAAUACGAGAUACUGCUGACGGUAUCUGCAGAAUAAGCACCGGCGAACUACGUUCUGUCAGCAGCGGUAAUACGUAGGGUGCAAGCGGUAAUCGGAAUUACUUGGCGUAAAGCGUGUGUAGGAGGCUCGGAAAGAAAGAUGUGAAAACCCCGGGCUCAACCUUGGAACUGCAUUUUUAACUGCCGAGCUAGAGUAUGUCAGAGGGGGGUAGAAUUACACGUGUAGCAGUGAAAUGCGUAGAUAUGUGGAGGAAUACCGAUGGCGAAGGCAGCCCCCUGGGAUAAUACUGACGCUCAGACACGAAAGCGUGGGGAGCAAACA